GUCGAGCGGACCUCUUCGGAGGUCAGCGGCGGACGGGUGAGUACACGUGGGCAACCUGCCUGUAAGACUGGGAUAACUCCGGGAAACCGGAGCUAAUACCGGAUAGUAUCUUGAACCGCAUGGUUCAAGUUGGAAAGACGGUUUCGGCUGUCACUUACAGAUGGGCCCGCGGCGCAUUAGCUAGUUGGUGAGGUAAUGGCUCACCAAGGCAACGAUGCGUAGCCGACCUGAGAGGGUGAUCGGCCACACUGGGACUGAGACACGGCCCAGACUCCUACGGGAGGCAGCAGUAGGGAAUCUUCCGCAAUGGACGAAAGUCUGACGGAGCAACGCCGCGUGAGUGAUGAAGGUUUUCGGAUCGUAAAACUCUGUUGUUAGGGAAGAACAAGUGCGAGAGUAACUGCUCGCACCUUGACGGUACCUAACCAGAAAGCCACGGCUAACUACGUGCCAGCAGCCGCGGUAAUACGUAGGUGGCAAGCGUUGUCCGGAAUUAUUGGGCGUAAAGCGCGCGCAGGCGGUUUCUUAAGUCUGAUGUGAAAGCCCCCGGCUCAACCGGGGAGGGUCAUUGGAAACUGGGAAACUUGAG
rnacentral:rRNA from 1 species